GAUGAACGCUAGCUACAGGCUUAACACAUGCAAGUCGAGGGGCAGCAUGGUCUUAGCUUGCUAAGGCCGAUGGCGACCGGCGCACGGGUGAGUAACACGUAUCCAACCUGCCGUCUACUCUUGGACAGCCUUCCGAAAGGAAGAUUAAUACAAGAUGGCAUCAUGAGUCCGCAUGUUCACAUGAUUAAAGGUAUUCCGGUAGACGAUGGGGAUGCGUUCCAUUAGAUAGUAGGCGGGGUAACGGCCCACCUAGUCUUCGAUGGAUAGGGGUUCUGAGAGGAAGGUCCCCCACAUUGGAACUGAGACACGGUCCAAACUCCUACGGGAGGCAGCAGUGAGGAAUAUUGGUCAAUGGGCGAGAGCCUGAACCAGCCAAGUAGCGUGAAGGAUGACUGCCCUAUGGGUUGUAAACUUCUUUUAUAAAGGAAUAAAGUCGGGUAUGGAUACCCGUUUGCAUGUACUUUAUGAAUAAGGAUCGGCUAACUCCGUGCCAGCAGCCGCGGUAAUACGGAGGAUCCGAGCGUUAUCCGGAUUUAUUGGGUUUAAAGGGAGCGUAGAUGGAUGUUUAAGUCAGUUGUGAAAGUUUGCGGCUCAACCGUAAAAUUGCAGUUGAUACUGGAUAUCUUGAGUGCAGUUGAGGCAGGCGGAAUUCGUGGUGUAGCGGUGAAAUGCUUAGAUAUCACGAAGAACUCCGAUUGCGAAGGCAGCCUGCUAAGCUGCAACUGACAUUGAGGCUCGAAAGUGUGGGUAUCAAACAGGAUUAGAUACCCUGGUAGUCCACACGGUAAACGAUGAAUACUCGCUGUUUGCGAUAUACUGCAAGCGGCCAAGCGAAAGCGUUAAGUAUUCCACCUGGGGAGUACGCCGGCAACGGUGAAACUCAAAGGAAUUGACGGGGGCCCGCACAAGCGGAGGAACAUGUGGUUUAAUUCGAUGAUACGCGAGGAACCUUACCCGGGCUUAAAUUGCAGAUGAAUUACGGUGAAAGCCGUAAGCCGCAAGGCAUCUGUGAAGGUGCUGCAUGGUUGUCGUCAGCUCGUGCCGUGAGGUGUCGGCUUAAGUGCCAUAACGAGCGCAACCCUUGUUGUCAGUUACUAACAGGUUCCGCUGAGGACUCUGACAAGACUGCCAUCGUGAGAUGUGAGGAAGGUGGGGAUGACGUCAAAUCAGCACGGCCCUUACGUCCGGGGCUACACACGUGUUACAAUGGGGGGUACAGAGGGCCGCUACCACGCGAGUGGAUGCCAAUCCCCAAAACCUCUCUCAGUUCGGACUGGAGUCUGCAACCCGACUCCACGAAGCUGGAUUCGCUAGUAAUCGCGCAUCAGCCACGGCGCGGUGAAUACGUUCCCGGGCCU
rnacentral:rRNA from 1 species